CGGUAAUUCCAGCUCCAAAAGCGUAUAUUAAAGUUGUUGCAGUUAAAAAGCUCGUAGUUGAACCUUGGGCUUGGUUAGCCGGUCCGCCUUUUGGUGAGUACUGGAUCUAACCGAGCCUUUCCUUCUGGGUAACCUUUCUUUCGGGGAAGGCGAACCAGGACUUUUACUUUGAAAAAAUUAGAGUGUUCGAAGCAGGCCUUUGCUCGAAUAUAUUAGCAUGGAAUAAUAGAAUAGGACGUUAUGGUUCUAUUUUGUUGGUUUCUAGGACCAUCGUAAUGAUUAAUAGGGACGGACGGGGGUAUCAGUAUUCAGUUGUCAGAGGUGAAAUUCUUGGAUUUACUGAAGACUAACUACUGCGAAAGCAUUUACCAAGCACGUUUUCAUUAAUCAAGAACGAAAGUUAGGGGAUCGAAGAUGAUCAGAUACCGUCGUAGUCUUAACCAUAAACUAUGCCGACUAGGGAUCGGGUGUUGUUCUUUUAUUGACGCACUCGGCACCUUACGAGAAACCAAAGUCUUUGGGUUCUGGGGGGAGUAUGGUCGCAAGGCUGAAACUUAAAGGAAUUGACGGAAGGGCACCACCAGGAGUGGAGCCUGCGGCUUAAUUUGACUCAACACGGGGAAACUCACCAGGUCCAGACACAAUAAGGAUUGACAGAUUGAGAGCUCUUUCUUGAUUUUGUGGGUGGUGGUGCAUGGCCGUUCUUAGUUGGUGGAGUGAUUUGUCUGCUUAAUUGCGAUAACGAACGAGACCUUAACCUACUAAAUAGUGCUGCUAGCUUUUGCUGGUAUAGUCACUUCUUAGAGGGACUAUCGAUUUCAAGUCGAUGGAAGUUUGAGGCAAUAACAGGUCUGUGAUGCCCUUAGACGUUCUGGGCCGCACGCGCGCUACACUGACGGAGCCAGCGAGUUUAUACCUUGGCCGAGAGGUCUGGGAAAUCUUGUGAAACUCCGUCGUGCUGGGGAUAGAGCAUUGUAAUUAUUGCUCUUCAACGAGGAAUUCCUAGUAAGCGCAAGUCAUCAGCUUGCGUUGAUUACGUCCCUGCCCUUUGUACACACCGCCCGUCGCUACUACCGAUUGAAUGGCUUAGUGAGGCCUCCGGAUUGGCUUAAGAAAGGGGGCAACCUCAUUCUGGAGCUGAAAAGCUGGUCAAACUUGGUCAUUUAGAGGAAGUAAAAGUCGUAACAAGGUAACC
rnacentral:rRNA from 1 species